AUUCCAGCUCCAAUAGCGUAUACUAAAGUUGUUGCAGUUAAAAAGCUCGUAGUUGGAUUUCUAAUCUCUCUUGGGGUUCCUUUUCUAAAGAAAUGCGCGACCAUUCAAGAGAGAUUAUCCUCGUGCCUAGCCUUUCUCACUUUCAUUAGUCAGGAAGGGGACGCACGUCAUUUACUGUGAGCAAAAUAGAGUGUUCAAAGCAGGCUUAGGCCAUGAAUAUAUUAGCAUGGAAUAAUAAGAUAGGACCUUGGUCUAUUUUGUUGGUUUACAUUCCAAGGUAAUGAUUAAUAGGGAUAGUUGGGGGUAUUCGUAUUCAAUUGUCAGAGGUGAAAUUCUUGGAUUUAUGGAAGACGAACUACUGCGAAAGCAUUUACCAAGGAUGUUUUCAUCG
rnacentral:rRNA from 1 species